rnacentral:rRNA from 1 species
GACGAACGCUGGCGGCGUGCUUAACACAUGCAAGUCGAGCGGUAAGGCCCGUUUCGGGGGUACACGAGCGGCGAACGGGUGAGUAACACGUGGGUGACCUGCCCUCAGCUCUGGGAUAAGCCUGGGAAACUGGGUCUAAUACUGGAUAUGACUCCACGGUGCAUGUCGUGGGGUGGAAAGCCUUGUGCGGCUGAGGAUGGGCCCGCGGCCUAUCAGCUUGUUGGUGGGGGAUGGCCUACCAAGGCGACGACGGGUAGCCGGCCUGAGAGGGCGACCGGCCACACUGGGACUGAGACACGGCCCAGACUCCUACGGGAGGCAGCAGUGGGGAAUCUUGCGCAAUGGGACGAAAGCCUGACGCAGCGACGCCGCGUGAGGAUGACGG